rnacentral:lncRNA from 1 species
GUCUUUUGAACGAAAAUGGAGAAGGAAGUGUGAAAAUAUGAACUUUGGUUGACUGAUAGGUUUCAGGCUUUAAAACCAAUACUAUGGAAUUCCUUUCCUUGCAGUUAACUUUUUUUUUUUUUUUUUAAAUGCAAAAGUGGCGAUCUACUUAUGGGUUUCUGUUUGUCUAAUAAUUAUUUUUAUUUAUUUUGGAUUCAAUUUUUUCACCUGUCAAUGGUAUCUGUUACUUUUCUAAUCAUUAGUUUUUGUUACUCAUGGGACCACUGUUCUUCUGUAACUUUGCUUUACUUUACCAAUUAUGAAAUCAUGGUAGCUUGCAGGUAUUAAAGUUAUGUUGAGUUGUGGUGGUGGUUGUUUACUAAGUGUUUGGA